AGAAAAUUAAAAGCGCCAGAACUUAAGAAAAGUUAAAGGGUUAAAGAUUUAGAGUCUCACUUAAGUUGACGAGGAUGGGGAGAAUCGAGGAUUCGGCGGAUGUCCCACGGUAAUUAUGUACUACCGAUAAAGGUUAGCAAAACUGAAAAGUAAUUUUCAGUACAAAUCUAGCUAGGUACAUUU
rnacentral:ncRNA from 2 species